ensembl:misc_RNA Metazoa_SRP Metazoan signal recognition particle RNA
GCCAGGCGUGGUGGCUCACGCCUGUAAUCCCAGCACUUUGGGAGGCUGAGGUGGGUGGAUUUCCUGAGCUCAGGAGUUCGAUACCAGCCUGGGCAACAUGGUGAAACCCCAUCUCUA